CACCUCCUAUUUUUGUCUGGCUCCACCCCCUAUUUUCAGAGUUAUGGCUCCUGAAAUAGUCAAAAAUGCACAUUUUCACCUUUUGAUGCACCUAGCUCAAAAAGUAUUUAAUAUAAAUGAUUGAAAACUUGCAUAAGUCUUUAUCAUGAUAUAAACUUGCACACCUUCUGUAUUUUGGCCGGCUCCACCCCCUAUUUUUAAAGUUAUGGCCCCUGAAAUAGUAAAAAAAAUGCACAUUUUCACCUAAUAAUGUGCCUAGCUCAAAAAGUAUUUAAUGUAAAUUCAUGAAACCUUGAUAGAGCCUUUAUCAUGAUGUGACCUUUCUCACUUGGCAUUCUUCUUGAAAAUCUUUGUGCUUAUUACAGAGUUAUGCCCCUUGAAAUAGCCAGAAUAGUUGAUUUUUGUUUGUGAUGCUCAUAGGCAUACAGACACUAAAUAGCCUGAGCACCUUUGAAAAAAUGGUAGUCGCAUAAUGGCGGAUUCAAAUAGUUCUCAGUUUUUUUUGCUGUAAGAAGGAUUUUUCCUUGAAAUCAUUGCUAUAUAUUGGUUGAAAUCAUAUUGCAUGCCUAUACUUGAUAUACUGGUAGCAUUUGCAUGUUGAAAAAAGACUCCAAACUGAUUUAACAUGUGAAAUUUAUUCAUACACCCCUACCCUAAAUUGUGAUUGUCAUUUCAGUGUAAAAAUUACGGUGUGUCCGUUUGACCAGAAAUAUUUUUCUUGCAUCAAACAUGACCCCUACUUUUCUUUGGAUAUUUUUACAGUAUAAAUGUUAUUCUACAAGAAAAUAGUUAAACAUUUCCUGUAGCAGCUUAGGACAGUACAGUUUGUGAGUUAACAGAUCAGGGUGAGCCUCAGUGUUUCCUGGUGUACUGUACUCAUCCGCCAACUUAGGACAGCUGUUUAGUGAUCGCAGAGGUGCGACACCCGUUUCAGAGCCAUUUACAUCAUUUAGUGAGGAUUCCUGUGUCUGACAGUACUGAACCUGGGGAAUUUCACACAUUUCUGAGCAGAGACCAGGUGUGCAGUAUCAACACCUUUUUAGUUACAUUUUGACAUGAAUUGUUGGAGAGAACUUGAAUACCAUGGCCAUGAGAUAUGACUUUAGCUAUAGAAUGCAAAAAUAUGCAGUAUUGUUGCAUUUGUGAUGAAAAGAAAGACAAUUUUCCCACUUUUUACUGAAAAAUAAGCUUUUUUUUUAACCAAAAAAAAUUCACUAAACACUAAUUUUGUUCUGUAUUUUAUCACAGUUGCAUAAUUAUAAGUUUUUUUCAGUGUAGUUGUCUAUUCCGCACUUGCUGGUGGUUUAUUUGAUGUAAUAUCUUAGGCGUAAAAAAAAAAUAUGUAUGUUUCCGGUGACCCGACCGACCCUAAUUUUAGCCCCCGACCCUAAACUUUUUUUCGGACGAAAAUUUGCGGGUACGAAAAAAAUUAUAUGCUCUCAUUUAGGAACAUCGGAUCGAUGUACAUUCACCGGGCUUUUUGAACAAGUCCACCCGCCGACAGGCAGUUUCUUGUGAAGGAUCUGACAGUUCUAUAUUCACCUCCAUCGUACAUUGACGAGUUAAAUUCUGGAUAGGACGAGUCAAAGAAUAUUUAUUUUUAUAGCUCUUUGGACGAGUGGACUUCGCUGUAUACUCGACCGAUCGGGCGAGUGGUUUUAACGUCGUAACUUUACCAAAUUCAGAAAUUAUAUCACGAAAAAAUACCUGGAUUGACUGGAAUUAACCCGCGAAUCAUAAGGGUAUCAAAACGUCAUGCCGGUAAUUUUCCAUUCCACGAGCACGUGCGACCUAUCGUAAUAUCUAAUCUCGCCGUUACUUUUGUUUAUCGACACGAACACAAAAAACGCGCGUAGUGCAUUCAUUUUUUAAUAUAAUCGCUUCAAAUUUUCAACACCGCUUAAGAAGUAAUACAGUUUAAAUUCAAUAAUAAUUUUAAUAAGACAUUGACAAAAAUGUAGGCAAAAUUCUAUAAAAACGGCCGAAUUUUCAUGUAAUCACUUGUAACAUUUCAAACAGCGCGAUCUUAAUUACUUAUUUCUUUCUUAAAGUAAAUAAAUGAUACAUAAUAUGGUCAUAAAAUUCAGACUUUUGAACAGAAAGUGUAAAAAACAGAAUUAAAAAAUCUUAAUGAAAAAGCGGCAGCAAUUUAAAUACAUGGAGUAAAACGAUUUUUCGCAAACAGAUUUCUGUUAGCGCGGCAGAAUAGGUUACGUGACCUCGUGAAUGUAAAUAGAAAUGUGGCUUUAGAAUAACGCAGUAUGAUGUUGUUGCGGUUUUUAAUUAAGUUUUAAAUGAAUCUUUUCGUACAAGUAUUAUUUUUGACACGACACUUUGUAAGAUAUUCUUCUCUAACAAUAAUGUAAAUUCUUUGAGGGCAAACAGGUCACAGAGGUCAUUCGUGAUGUUGUACAUUCGCUUUUAAAAAUAAAAUAAAGAAGAAACUUUUUUAUUGAUUUCUUCUCAACAAUUUAAAGAAGCGAGGCGGUACGAUCAAACAGUGAUGUUUCACAUGGCGCGAAAACAUGACGUAAUGCCAUGACAAUCUCGGGAAACUAUACCGCUUUGAUCUUCUCUUCAGAUGCUUCUCUUCAGAUGCCAUGAUACCGACACACUUCUGUUAGCUCUUUGGACGGUGUUAAUUAAUGAUGAAAACAAGGCCAAUUACUUACCUUAUAAACUGAAUAAUUUCCGAUAAUUGUUUUUUUCCGCUUUCACAAAGAGUGUGGAUGAUGAUAAUUAUGUCCAUAUUUUGGGGACACUUUUCAAAAUAAUUAUUUUCGGAAAAUAAGUCUUGAGAAAAUGAAAAUAACUUAAUAUUUUAUGCUGUCCUAAUAGUUUAGGAAAAUACGGGAGGGGAUAGACUUUAAUUAUUAUUACUAUCGCUGCAGUUAUUUUGGAGAGCAACUGGCUGGUGCUGCUGACAAAAAUACAGGAAAGAAAAAUAAAAAUGUCUGCUGUAAAAAGGAAGUUUAAGAAGAACAAAUAUGUCACCUUAAAAAGGAAAUGUAGGGUACAAGAGAAUAGUAUUUGUCUACUGAGUGUUACAUUUGAAAUUUACUAAUUGUAUAAUACUCCUUUCAUAAAAGUGACAAUAUUAAACAGUCAUGUCAAUUAUAAGGGCAAGUGACUGUUCACUAAGGGCAAGCAGAUUUUAGUGGUUAGUAGUCCUGCAGGGCAGGUGGUGUGGAAAAAAAAUACACCCCUGCCUUGACAUAAAAAAUCAUGAGUUUAAGCUAGGCUUGAACCAAUGGAAACCCAAAGGUGCAUCUGUUGAAAUAUUCUGACGGCAUGUAUUUAAAAAUUUGACUAAAAGCCAAAGGGUAUAUAAAAAGCAGUGUAUUUAAAGUGUAUAGCAUCUGCCAUCUAGUAAAGACAUAAUUAUAUGUAUUGAUAAGACAAUAGGCAAAAGCAAGACAAGGCAAUUCCACUACUGUAAAGAUGUGUAUUCUAAAAAAAAAAAAGAAAAAAUCGACCUACCUACCCUAUUUUUUUCUGGCAUGUCACAGGAAACAUACAUAUUUUUUUUUUUGGCCUUACGGGUUUUUUUUGAAAAAACAGCAUUUAAUGACUAUAUGUGAUUCAGCCAAAUUUAACGGCUUAAACCGCAGUCUUUGGACAAAAUGAUGGCUGUACAAAAAUAGUGAUUUUGAGAAAACUACUGGUUUGUUUGGGCUGAAACUUGUUUUAUAAGCUGAAUAUAGAUGAAACUUCACAUAGAGAGCAAAAAAGCUGAAAAAAAAAAAUAUCAUAUUUCCUUAUAGGCAUACAGACACUAAAUAGCCUGAGCACUUUUGAAAAAAUGGUAGUCGCAUAAUGGCGGAUUCAAAUAGUUCUCAGUUUUUUUUGCUGUAAGAAGGAUUUUUCCUUGAAAUCAUUGCUAUAUAUUGGUUGAAAUCAUAUUGCAUGCCUAUACUUGAUAUACUGGUAGCAUUUGCAUGUUGAAAAAAGACUCCAAACUGAUUUAACAUGUGAAAUUUAUUCAUACACCCCUACCCUAAAUUGUGAUUGUCAUUUCAGUGUAAAAAUUACGGUGUGUCCGUUUGACCAGAAAUAUUUUUCUUGCAUCAAACAUGACCCCUACUUUUCUUUGGAUAUUUUUACAGUAUAAAUGUUAUUCUACAAGAAAAUGUAAGUUAAAGAAAUUUAAAAUGGGUCUAGGUGUGUAUUGCAGCAUUGUGAAAACUUGUCAUUUUAUAUAGAAUAUAUAGUGGUGGCUAUUUAGUGUGUUAUAACCUCAUAGCUCAAAAAUAUAUGGCC